rnacentral:tRNA from 1 species
GGAGGGGUGGCAGAGUGGUCUAAUGCACUAGUCUUGAAAACUGGCGUGGAGCAAUUCACCGUGGGUUCGAAUCCCACCCCCUCCGCCA